CGUGUAGGCGGCCAAGCAAGUCGGACGUGAAAGCCCUCGGCUUAACCGAGGAAGUGCGCCCGAAACUACGUGGCUUGAGUACCGGAUAGGGAGGUGGAAUUCCCGGUGUAGAGGUGAAAUUCGUAGAUAUCGGGAGGAACACCGGUGGCGAAGGCGGCCUCCUGGACGGAUACUGACGCUGAGACGCGAAAGCGUGGGUAGCAAACAGGAUUAGAUACCCUGGUAGUCCACGCCGUAAACGUUGGGCACUAGGUGUGGCGGGUGUUAACCCUGCCGUGCCGCAGCUAACGCAUUAAGUGCCCGCCUGGGGAGUACGGCCGCAAGGCUAAA
rnacentral:rRNA from 1 species